rnacentral:rRNA from 1 species
UACAGGGGGUGCAAACGUUGCUCGGAAUUAUUGGGCGUAAAGCGCGCGUAGGCGGCCACUUAAGUCGGAUGUGAAAGCCCCUGGCUCAACUGGGGAAGUGCACCCGAAACUGAGCGGCUUGAAUGCAAAAGAGGGUCGCGGAAUUCCCGGUGUAGAGGUGAAAUGCGCAGAUAUCGGGAGGAACACCAAUUGCGAAGGCAGCUCGCUGGGACGUCACUGACGCUGAGACGCGAAAGCGUGGGGAGCACACAGG